UACUGUUGAAGUGGAAAACGGUCUUAAAAGGCGGUUAACUUCUUCUUGAUUCAGUAGCUUGGGUCUAUAACCACUGACGGCGUAUCUCGUAGGAGUGAAAACAAAAGCAAGUCUUGAAGUUAAAAAAAGUUUGGAAGUUUAAAAAUGAAGUCCAUCCUACUAUUCAUUGCUUUGGUUGCUUUCAUUCCGACUUUAAUGGCGAAGUCUGAUGUGAAACAUGAAGAACCUAGUAACGAGGAAUCAUCAUCAGAGAAUCGUCCUGCCUUACAAGUGCCGGUUUUUAAACUGUCUCGCAGCACACCUCCAAGUCGUCCAGCCGUCUGGAAUAACAUGUACUUCGCUAUUCAUACCAGGAGAAAACCAAAAGGCUAUAGUAUUCACGAGUACCCGUUUGCAUCCAGUGCCCAGGGUGGAGAAGGUGCUGUUUUGAGGCUGGUUCCGAUAAGAGAAAA